AUGUAGCCGAACAGCCUUCUAAACUUCACCCUUCACUCCUCUACAUAAACCGCCCAUCUCAGGCUUCUCUCUCUCUCUCUCUCUUAGGUUUCCUUUGUGUCUUGCUUCUGCCCUACUUUGCGCCGCAACUGCGUGGUUAACCUCAGCGAGGAUCCAUGUGAAUUCAAAAUAGUCAAGUGGUUUCUAUUGAUCAAUGAUUAAUACUAAGGGCUUAGGGGUUGGAAAAUGAGUUGAAACUACCCUUGGGAAUGAAGUGUAUGAAUGAAGGUUGGAUAUAACAGGAAUAUUAGCUACAUCACUACUUCAUGGUUGCCGAAAAGAGGACAUGAAGAGAGCUGGAUCCUCAUGGAAGCAGCUAGGGGUUGUGAAGACUAACCAUAUCUUUCGCGAAGGAAAUGGAUGUGUGGAUCGUUUGGCUAAUGGACAACUCACCAGACCAGUAGGCAUAGUUGUCUUUGUUGUUAUGCCAGCUUGUAUUGUUAAUAUUCUGGCUUCUGAUUCCCAGGGGUUGGCUAAGGGCUGCAAAGGAACCAAAGUUCACCAAUGGGGCAUCUCUCCAAUGGUUCCAACCAGGCAAGGAUGUCCUUACUUAGCAGCCAUCCCCCAGUGGCCCUUUCUCAAGAACUUUUGUAAAAUUGCAAAAUGUUAAAAACAGUCCUUAAGGAUGUGAAUCCUAUCUCAUUAAAAUUUAAAAUAUUUAUUUGUCCACUUACUCCGUGUCCACUCAGCUUCUAGAUUUUGUGUAUCAAAACAAGCCAACUUUUGUAAGUUCUCGACAUUGCAAAUCAUGUGUUAAUAAAAAUUGAGAAGAUUCAUUUACUAA